rnacentral:rRNA from 1 species
CCAGACUCCUACGGGAGGCAGCGGUGAGGAAUAUUGGUCAAUGGGCGCGAGCCUGAACCAGCCAAGUCGCGUGAGGGAGGACGGCCCUACGGGUUGUAAACCUCUUUUGCCGGGGAGCAACGGGCGUCACGUGUGGCGCCACUGAGAGUACCCGGAGAAACAGCAUCGGCUACCUCCGUGCCAGCAGCCGCGGUACUACGGAGGAUGCGAGCGUUAUCCGGAUUUAUUGGGUUUAAAGGGAGCGUAGAUGGGUUGUUAAGUCAGUGGUGAAAGUUUGCGGCUCAACCGUAAAAUUGCAAUUGAUACUGGCAGUCUUGAGUACAGAUGAGGUAGGCGGAAUUCGUGGGGAAGCGGUGAAAUGCUUAGAUAUCACGAAGAACUCCGAUUGCGAAGGCGGCUGACUAAACUGCCACUGACAUUGAUGCUCGAAAGUGUGGGUAUCAAACAGGAUUAGAUACCCCAGUAC